rnacentral:misc_RNA from 1 species
UCUGUCAGUCGCCUCAGUCUGUCUAUGUGUGUGCGUUAGUUAGUCAGUUGUGCCUAUGCGCGUGUGUGUGCGAGUGUCUCGCUUCAUUUUGCCUUUGGUGUCAGUUGAAGAGAAAGAAAACGAAUAGCUCGUCGCAGCUGAGCAGAACGGAGCGGAGUAAACGGAAUAAAGUGUGCUUCAAGUCAAGUUCUAUGUGUUUGCCGGCAUUUUAAUGACGUCACGUCAAGCAGCGCAGUAACAGCCAUCAAGCAAAAGCAACAACAACUGCAAAGUCAGCAAAACCAGAAAGCAAGAAAAAUAAUAUCAAGUAAAAAGCCCGAAAUAAAAAUAAAAAAAAAAACGCGUUUCUUCUGCUGUCGCUCGCUCUCUACUGCCUCCCCCCGCACUAUCGCUGACCCGCUCUAAACCACACUCAGCUGCUCCGUGCGCGUGUGACUGUGUGUAAGUGUGUGCAAAAGUUACAAAUUCUAACAGCAAAUCAAACGAAAUUCGCAACAACAACAGCAACAACAGCGGAGAGAAUCGAAUCAAAUUGAAGCGCAACGCAUCGCUCGCAUCGCAUCGCAUCGCAUCAUCAGCUGCUUCUCAAGAUAAUGUAAAAUCAGCGUAUGCUCAAUAAAGAAAAGCUUAAAUACACACAAAAAUAAGAACAACAAAUUAAAUAUUAAAACAAAAACUGCUAAACUUACAAACAAUAUUCAAGUUAAAGCGUAUUUAUAUAUAAACGUUUGUUCGAAUCAAAAUUAAACUACAUAUAUACAACUCUUAGCCACGAUAGGCUUCAAGUACCCCAAGCUAUUAGCUAUUCCCAAGCUUUGUAAACAAUUAAAAAAAAAAAGAAAACAAUAUACAAAACAAGAACUCAUGCAAAGCGCUAAACAUCUAUGCUAAAUAUAUAUAUGUAUACCUUAUAUAUAUAGGUGCUGAUCUGUGCUAAGAGCUGUUUAUCAUAAAAGAAACAAAAAGUAACCCGAAACAAAACUUGUUGAAGCCAACGUCAUAAAGUAAAACGCGCAACAUUUCUAGUCGCCAGCUAAGCUAUCUAUAAAGUCCCCCAGCUAAAACAAAACUAUAGCUAUAAAUAUAUAUAUAUAUUCAUAUAUACAUAUACAAAAUACUGAAGAAUUGCUGCUGCGAUGGCCAACGUUGUUAAUAUGAACAGCCUGCUGAAUGGCAAGGACUCGCGCUGGCUGCAGCUGGAGGUCUGCCGCGAAUUUCAGCGCAACAAAUGUUCGCGCCAGGACACCGAAUGCAAGUUCGCCCAUCCGCCGGCCAAUGUUGAGGUGCAGAACGGCAAGGUUACCGCUUGCUAUGACAGUAUCAAGGCGACGCACCUCUUAGAGAUGGAUAACUACAAGGGUCGUUGUAAUCGUGACAAACCGCCGUGCAAAUACUUUCAUCCACCACAGCAUCUGAAGGAUCAGCUGUUGAUAAACGGACGCAAUCAUCUGGCACUCAAGAAUGCACUAAUGCAACAAAUGGGCAUGGCGCCCGGCCAGCAGGUCAUAUCGGGCCAAGUGCCAGCCGUGGCCGCAAAUCCCUACUUGACUGGCAUACCAGCCAAUACAUACAGUCCUUACUAUGCAACCGGACACUUAGUGCCUACUUUGCUGGGACCCGAUCCGACGGCCGUCGCCUCACAGCUGGGCCCGGUGGUGCCACAGACCGUGCAAGUGGCCCAACAGAAAAUUCCACGCUCCGACAGAUUAGAGGUCUGUCGCGAAUUCUUGCGCGGCGCCUGCAAACGGGCCGAGUCGGAAUGCCGGUUCGCGCAUCCGCAGGAGAGCGUCGCGCGGCACGACGAUGGUUCCAUAACGGUUUGCAUGGACGCCGUGAAGGGCAGAUGCGCACGUGACCCCUGCCGCUACUUUCAUCCCCCCCUGCACCUACAGGCACAAUUAAAAGCGGCCCAAACACGCGCCACCGCUGUCGCUGCUGCAGCUGCGAGCUCACCUCUUACGGCACACCAACAACUAAAUCAGCAUCAGCAGCAACUGCAGAACCACCUCCACAACAGCAACAAUAGCAACAGCAACAACAACAACAGCAACAACACCAUCCACACGGCCGGCGGCAUCACUGCUGGCGCAACAACAACAACACCAACAGCAACAACAACAACAAACAACGCUGCCGCUGCCGCUGCUGCUGCCGCCGCCGCCGCUGCCGCCGCUGUUAUGGGUCAUCACACACUGGAAGUGGGCAAGAAGCGGUCAGCGGAUCCUGAAAUGUUUCCACUGAUGGAUGUUAAAACGGUUGGUUCAUUUUACUAUGAAAACUUCCAAUUCUCUGGCAUGGUACCGUUUAAACGUCCAGCUGCCGAAAAGUCUGGCAUUCCAGUGUAUCAACCCGGUGCGACAACCUAUCAACAAUUAAUGCAGCCCUACGUGCCAGUGUCAUUUACUGGACACCCUCCCGGUGUGCCAAGAUUUUAAUAGAUCUAUGUGCAGUCGGUUAAAUUGUAGAUUCGUUCAUUUAACUGAAGAUGACAAGGUCGAGGUGAUUGAUCAACGUGUUGCUGUCUGUCGGGAUCAUGCCAACAGCCAGUGCCGUCGCAAGCAAUGUAAAUACUA